GACAUGCGGGAUGCAUUGGAGCUCAUCCGAGAUGAGGAUAGACAGGAGAGGAGGGAAGUAAAAAGAGAGAAGUUACAGGGGUUGGAGAAUAAACACAGGGGCCAGGUAACAUCAUUCUCCCUCUGGUGGUGGCUAUGCACCUUACACUGGAUCCUACCUAUUUAUCAGUUAUUAAACCUGUACAGCUAAUAGCUACUGAUCUUAGUUAACGGUAAUGUCUAUGAUGUUGUAAUGCUUAUAAGAUGCAAAUAUAAGUACUGAUCUACCAUAGUAACAGUUGUUCUUUUUGUUAUCUUUGUAGAAAGGAAUCAUGUUUGAGAUCCGGUUGGACUGUGAGGAGAGUAAAGAAGGGCGACGAGGAGAGGACGAGAAGAAGGAGGGAAUAGGAGGAGAGGAGAGAGAGGUACGGCAGCUUUGUUAAUCAAAUUAUACCUCUUUGUCCUUGUCGCUGUGUCCGUCUAUCACUCUCUCACUGUCACUAUCGCUGUCUUAUUCCCCCUCUCUGUAUCUGACAGGCUGAGGGUCUUCUCAACCAGCGCCUAAGUUUCCAGGAGGGGGAGGAGCUCAGGCAUAGGGAUUGGUCGGUGGGGGAGGGGGGGCAGGGCCAGGUGAGGAGGGGGUGGAGUGAGCGGUUACCAGAGACUCUUCUGGAGGCCCUAGCCGGGAUGGACGUGUCUCUUGCAGGAGGCGAUGAAGAGGAGGAGGAAGCAGAGAGGAGGAGAGCAUGGGGGAGCGGACCCCCAAGCACUCUGCUCAAUGCCCUGGCCCACGCCCCCCUCAGCUCCUCCUCCUCCACCCUCGACACUCUGACACCAGAACCACCAGUAGAGGGGCAGAAGGAGGAGGAGGGACAGGGAGAGGCGGAGAGAGAGGAGCAGAGUGAGGGAGAGGAGGAGUUGGAGAAGGAGGUGCAGAUGAAGGAGGAGUCAGAUGUGGAGGUGGACGGCGAUCGUCUGGAGCCCCGGUCUGACGACGAUGACACGAACUUUGAGGAGUCUGAAGACGAGCUGAGGGAGGAGGUGGCCGACUCCAUGAAGAAUCUCUUCAUCAUGGAUGAAGAUGAAGACGAGGAGCCCGGAGAGAGAGAAGAGAUAGAUGGAAGGAUAAAGAAGGAGGGAGGGGAAGAUAAGGGAUGUGGGGACCCCAGACCAACACAGGCAGAGCCAGACAGCUACCCAUUGACCAAGGCCCCUCCCUCUUCAACCGAGGCCCAAGAUGAGGGGUGUGGGGGCCAGCCCGAGCAUAUAGGUGACCCUCAGACAUCAGAUGAAGCCUCCUCCGAAGACGACGGUAAAUAGAUCAGGAUCAUAUAUAGACAGGUCUUCACUGAGAGGGUUGGUGGAAAGACGCAUGUUGAUGGAGGUUCUAGGAAAGGAAUUUCAUCACAUCUGCACAUAUAUUCCUCAAGCUUUACUUAAAUUUGAAUGUAUUUAUGCAACCAAUCUAAUAAAUGAUUCAAAUGGAAUCCAAAACGUCUGUCUCCUUCUGUUAAGUAGCAACAGAAUAGAUUUGGUUCUAUUGACUCGUCGUUCUGAUUGGUCUGCGCAGAGCAGGUGCCUUCCCUGUGCUUUCAUUAGGGGCUUAGUUUGUUAAGCAUGUCUCAUUACCAACUAGUUGCGCUUGUUUAGAACUUGAAUAAGAGUGAUAAAUGGAACCAAAGUGUUUAUUAAAGACAAGGGAAGAUAAUCAACACCUCAAAAAUACAGAUUCAUUUACACAUUUUAAUUAAAUAUGCACAAUUAUCCAACACAAAUGGGAUGGAAGAAAUGACAUUUAAACAAGCGGUUAUUUGAAGAGCCGCCUGUAGAGGAGGAAUGUAAAGGAAUAGGAUCAAGCACAGUGACACUUUAAUUUUAAUUAACAACAUCAACCCGCUCUGCAGCCAUUCAGAAACUGUAAAAUGUGAUUGGCUAGGGCAGAAAUGAUCUGCCAAUGAGCAUGCGGGAAAAAUACAGAGGUAAGACAUACAGGAAAACAGAUUUUGGUUUCUGAUUUUAACUCGUUACAUAUAACUUAUAGAACUUCAUGGUUCGAUUGUCUCUUGGUGGGCCACUUGUAGGAGUAACCACCACUAAAAUGUAUUUUCCAAUUAACAACUGAUUGGUACUGUUCAUCCUCUCUUUAAGCCUGGAAAACAGCCUCUCUCUCCUCCUCAGAUCCUGUUACUUUCUGUAAGCGUAGCUAGCAGAAGCAUUUGCGGUUAGCUGGUGCCACUUCUACAACUUUUAAGGACAUGCUAGUUUCUUACUGUUAGCAAGAGAUAAAGUUACUGUAGGGUAGUCAAUCGGUCGCUAUGGAAACCAGGACGGGGUAACCAUGGAACCUUGACGGAAUCGCCAUAGAAAAGCGAUAGUUGCCAGCUAAACAAUAAUCGAUGGCAAUGGAACCGUUGUCAAAGCCUCCAUGG
rnacentral:lncRNA from 1 species